rnacentral:lncRNA from 1 species
CGCGGCGCGGGCCGCGGCCGGGGCGGAGGGCGGCCUCGGCGGGGCAGCUCCCCCCCUUCCCCCCCUCCCCACACACAACCGCCCCCGGUAACGGCCGCCGCGCGCCGGGGCCCAGGGCCAGGUCCCCCUUCCAAAAUGCCUUUGCUUGAAAAGCAAGAAAAUGGUGAGCAGGUGUUGAUGAAAAAUGAAAGCUAUUUGCAAAUCUUGUCCAAGAAAUUAAUGCUUUGA